rnacentral:lncRNA from 1 species
UCGUUGCGAUGAUCCCUAGCUAGUUCAGUAAAGCUUAAUUUCCAAUGGACAAUUCCCUGCAAAGGAAAAUGAAAGGUAGCUACUAUUUAUAAUAAUAAGAUAGAACCCAAUUUGAAUUUGGGCAAAAAAACAUAAGAACGGUUCAAAUUCAUUCUAAUUUUCAGAUUGUUGAGACGGAGAGAGAGAAUUUUGUUACGCCGUGCCUUCAGGCACGGACAAUUACUAGUAUGUCUAUAUCACAGUACUCUCGCAACAUUUUGCCAACUAAACAUGUUGCAACACUUUGCCAACUACACAAACAACACAACUACAACAUCACUACAAAAAGUCAACUAAACCAACUGCAACACAACAUUCUGCCAACUACACAUUUUAACAUUGAACGCAUAAAUGAAUGCGGUUGAACAGAACAAUGAAUGCUUCUGUUGCCUUGCUGAACAUAUAAUGAACAUAUAUUUGAACACAACAAUGAAUGCUUAUGCUGCCCUGCUGAACAUAUGACUGAAUACAUUUUUGAAAACAACAUUGAACACAUGAAUGAAUACAUAUUUGAACACAACAUUACUACUGUUAAACACAACAUUACUACUACUGAACACGUGAAUUGCUGAACACAACAACAUAUUUACUACUGCGGAACAUGUUGAACACAUGAAUGAACACACAAUACUACUACUAAACACAACAUUCAUAUUUACCAUUGCAAGAAGGUGGAGAGAAUUCACUUUUACUGCAUUGUAACCUAAUGAAGGUGAUAAUCCUUUAGAAAUGUUUGCUACAAAAUCAUGGUGAGUUGGUGCCAAAAAUUUUGUUUACUUGGAAAUUUGAUGCAGUAAAAAUAGCAUAAAGGUUCACGGAUUAAAAAAAUCAAACAAACCUUUUGUGUUUCCUCAUUUACAUAUUCAGCAAGACACAACCAGGCAGAGUACAUAAGAGAUUCGUAGACAGUCACGUGGUGAAUGGAUAUCAUUUUAUUCACAAUAGCCACUGACACGAGCAAAUGUUUCUUGCUUCUUUGGGUAACUAGAGAUGCUGAUACUUCCUUCAAUAUAGCCACCAGUUUUUCUUCUAGCUAGUGCAUCCAUCAAUGUGGUCUUUCCAGCACCACUCACACCAACGAAUGAUGUUAAAACACUAGGCCAGUUAUGGUUUUAUUCCUUAGCUGGGCUGGAUGAUGAAACACAUUGAUCUUAACAUCAGGCCAGUUAUGGUUUUAUUCCUUAGACUUUUGAAUUGUCAAUUGCUUUUCUACCGGUAAUGAUUUCCAGAAGAACAACUCAAAAAUUAUAAACAUCUGAUUUUUACGCAAAUAGCCAGCAACUUGAAGCAAUUUCCAACUUAAAGCCUCCUACGUCUGCUAAUCUAUUGAUGAUCAAAACAGUUUUGUCACAAGGAAAUAUAAGAAGUUCCUAAAAGAGAUCUAUAAAGGAAGUAAAAGAAAAGAGAGUACACAAACCUUUGCCCAAAAUAGGAUCUUGAGACAACCCACAUGGCAUCUGGAAACCAAAAGAAAAGACAGAGCAAUCGGUAUGACAAAAAUAUUCUGCCCACUACACCAUGUCAAAUUACAAUAUCAUAAUUACAAUCUUAAUAGAAAUAAUGAUAACUACAAAAAUUACAAAUCCACAUUAAAUUAGAUUGAAGAUAUUUUGUUGUUUGACUCUUUGACAUGGACUUAUAAAGGCUUUUAUAUUCACCCAAAACAUACUGGCUCGUCAUGCAUUACCAUCCAUAUCACCCAGUGUGCAUUAUACUACUAGAACAAAGUUGGAAAAGGUGUAUUGCCUUUUAACUAAGUUAGAACAAUACUGGAAUGUUGCCCUGCCUGAACUAAUUACUAGGGAGCUAACUAAAAUGUAAUUUUCAAAACUCUUGAUUCUACCAAAUUCCAACAUCAGAUUAUAACAUUUGCAAACCAUACGAGGUUGAGACAAAAAUGAUGUUUCAAGAAAAAAAGGAAAAAAUAAUCAGAAAACGAAGAAAUAAACAAUAGAUUUUAAACAAUAGAGCGAGGUAUUAACAUCUGACACAAUAGAUUCUAAACAAUAGACACAACAAUAACAUCUGAUAGUGUGCUACUCUGAAAUUAAUUGAAUAGGAUUCCAAACAAUAGAGCGAGGUAUUACUUCGGAUUAAAAGUGAAUUUCUGCCAAUGAUCAAGCAGCCCUUUGUGCAAGUGGUUUCCCUGAAUCAACAAACUGUCUUAUUACUUCAAAUAAUGAGGAGACUACAUGUCAAAAUAAUGUUGAGGAAAACAUAACAUAACAAUUGUUUAAUCUAAUAGCUUGUAAUUCAGUAAAUGUAGGGCAGGUAGUAUAUCAAUUCGCUAAUGGUUGUUAUUGACGGGCUUAAGGAAAGACAGUAUACAUUCAAUAGAGUUAAUCUCUUUGCAAUUUUUUACAUAAACCACUCGUUCAUUAACCUAUUUACAGAUAAAAUACACACCAAACAUGUUAAGACAAUGUAAAAUGCAUGCAGGAACUCAUUAGUUGAACAUGUGUGAUCAAACUUAGAAAAAUAAAUCAAAGAAAACAAACGUAGCACACUAUAUACUUUAUUAUGUUCUCCCUCUUAUUCCACCAAUCCAAACGUUCUAACAUUAAGUUUUAUCAACUAGACAGAGUCACAAAAACCUAUAUAGUUCCCCCAUUGACAAGUAUAUGUCCUAAAAACAAAAUAAUUACAUUUGUAAUUUGAACUUUGAGCUCAUAUCCUAUUUGAGAUAACCUUUUAACAUUGCGUAAUGGAUGCGUGUGUGUGUGUGUGUGUAUAUAUAUAUAUAUAUAUAUAUAUAUAUAUAUAUAUAUAUAUAUGGGAAAUGAUUCAUGAAAAACGUUAGUUCUGGGCAUUGUUUCAACUAACUGUUAUUCAGCCGUCUAAAAUUAGAGUGAAUGACUGAGAUGAGGGUCCAACCGCUACUCCCUCUAGCGGCCAGCCAAAUUCUUUUAUGCUGGCCGCUACUCCCUCUAGCAGCCAGUCAAAACGACCGUGUUUUGAUUGGCCACUAAAAGAAGUAGCGGCCAACAUAGAAUUUGAUUUAAUUACUUAUACAUACUACUUAUUAAUCAGUAAAAUAAAAUAAUAAAAAAUUAUAAAUAUAAUCAGUAAUUAUCCUUAUGCUUAUUAAUAAAAUAAGUAUGUAUAAGGAUAAUUACUGAUUAUCGUCUUAUGAUUUUUAAUUAUAAAUAGGAAAUAGUGAUUGAAUUUAUAUUAUAUUCCUACUCAAAUAUAUAAACUCAAUCACUAUUUUCUAUUUAUAAUUAAAUAUUUUUUUUGUUAAUAAGUAUAAGGAUAAGUAUAAAGAUAAUUACUGAUUAUCCUUAUAAUUUUUUAUUAUUUUAUUUUACUAAUUAAUAAGUACUAUGUAUAAGGAUCAGUAAUUAAGCCAAUUUUUUUUAUGUUGAUCGCUACUCCCUCUAGCGGACAGUCAAAACUAGCCACUAGAGGGAGUAGCGGUCAGCAUAAAAGAAUUUGGCUGGCCGCUAGAGGGAGUAGCGGUUGGGCCCUCAUCUCAGUCAUUCACUCUAAUUUUGGACGGCUGGAUAACAGUUAGUUGAAACAGUGCCCAGAACAAACGUUUUUCAUGGAUCAUUUCUUUAUAUAUAUAUAUAUAUAUAUAUAUAUAUAAUCAUGCAAAAAACUAAACUGCCUGCCAAGUUCUCCUAUUAACAUUGACCAAGCAUUUAAAUGUGUCAAAACGUUAAAGAUUGACUGUGAUAUAUAGAACAAGUUCUUGUCCAGCAAAGAAUUAUUCUAUUACUUUUUUCUUUUUCGGCUAAAUAGCAAAUAUUUUAUUUGGUUCAUUUUUUGCUCCAACAAAACCAAUUUCAAUUUGCUGCUAGAUUUGUUCAUUACAAACAUGUACUAGAUGCAUGAGCUUAGUAAAUAAAAGCUUUUAUGCACAAAUUUCAAGCUGCUUCAGUGCUUCUACAGAAUUCCCUAAAAUUCUAAACUUUUUUGUCACUUUACUAGAAUGAAAGAAUGCAAUUUAUAAGCACCAAGUUACUGUACAAAGCUUAAACAAGCGAACAAUGAAACUGCAAGGUAACACUAACAACAUUCAUAUGAUUUUGUGAAAUGAUAAAUUAGAUGUAUUCAAUUGGAUUUUGAAAUAAUCCUAGAAAUUGAGUCUAAAUUAAGAAAUUGAAAUAGUAUAUCUGCUAGUAAACUAAGACGCUGAAAGAAGAAUUAAUAAUAAUAAAAGGCCUAAGGAACAUUAAUCAAAGUACUUACUUGCAACAAAACUCACAAUGACUUAGUGCCGAUUUGCAGUCAAUUGCGAACUAGGGUUAUAAUUCCAAAUCGCAUAAAUCUCAGCAGGGAGUUAAAUUAUCAGUAAUUUUACCCCAAUUCCUUUUUACAGCAAGUUGUCGAUCCCAAUUCUGUUUCACAACAAGUUGCUGAUCUUCAGACACAAGGAACUAGGGUUCCAAUUCCAAAUCGCAGUUGGGAAUUAUGUUACCGGUAAUUUUGCCCCAAUUCUUUUUCAAAGCGGGGUCAGUUGUGUCCGCUAGAAAUUCAAAUGGGCUAGAUGUUCUUUUUUGAUGGGGUAUGAUGUGUGUAUAAUCGGCAAUAACCGGUCCGCUAGUUAUUCUAGAGGACGACGAGUCUAAUUUUUAAUUACAUCUAUUCAUAAUUAUAAUA